rnacentral:rRNA from 1 species
UACGGAGGAUCCAAGCGUUAUCCGGAUUUACUGGGCGUAAAGCGGGUGUAGGUGGUUGGAAAAGUCGAUUGGGAAAUCCCCGGGCUCAACCUGGGAACUGCUUUCGAUACUGUCUGACUAGAAUUCGGUAGAGGGAGGCGGAACUCCAGGUGUAGCGGUGAAAUGCGUAGAUAUCUGGAAGAACACCAAUGGCGAAGGCAACCUCCUGGGCCUGAAUUGACACUGAGACACGAAAGCGUGGGGAUCAAACAGG